rnacentral:rRNA from 1 species
UACAGAGGUCUCAAGCGUUGUUCGGAUUCAUUGGGCGUAAAGGGUGCGUAGGCGGCGCGGUAAGUCGGGUGUGAAAUCUUGGAGCUUAACUACCGAAACUGCAUUCGAUACUGCCGUGCUUGAGGACUGGAGAGGAGACUGGAAUUUACGGUGUAGCGGUGAAAUGCGUAGAUAUCGUAAGGAAGACCAGUGGCGAAGGCGGGUCUCUG